rnacentral:rRNA from 1 species
GACGAACGCUGGCGGCGUGCUUAACACAUGCAAGUCGAACGGACUAUAGCAAUAUAGUUAGUGGCGAACGGGUGCGUAACACGUGACUAAUCUGCCCCGGAGUGGGGAACAACGGAGGGAAACUUCCGCUAAUACCGCAUAUUGAGCGUGGCUCGCAUGGGCCGUGCUUGAAAGAUUUAUCGCUCCGGGAUGAGGUCGCGCCCCAUUAGCUUGUUGGCGGGGUAAUGGCCCACCAAGGCUACGAUGGGUAGCUGGUCUGAGAGGAUGAUCAGCCACACUGGGACUGAGAUACGGCCCAGACUCCUAUGGGAGGCAGCAGUGAGGAAUAUUGCUCAAUGGCCGAAAGGCUGAAGCAGCAACGCCGCGUGGAGGAUGAAGGCCUUGGUCGUAAACUUCUUUUGUAGGGAUGAAUGUCCCGGCUUCGGCCGGGAUUGACCGUACCCUGCGAAUAAGGAUCGGCUAAC